AUGCUCUCCGGGACAAGUCCAUGGGCCCAUGAACGAGUCCAGAACCCUGUCAUAGGGCCAGGGACAAUGACAGAAGGGAGAGCUGGGAAUCCUGCCCACAUACCGAAUUCCAGGUGGAGAAAGAUCCCAUGGGAUGGAGAGGGAGCAUCUUUAGAAGGAAAGAGAAUCAGGUGGGCCCCUCAAGGCUCAAGGGAGCGAAGAAGAGGGGCCAAGUCCCCCAGCAGGACUGGCCAGGUUGGCCAGAGGCAGACCCCACAGCCACCUGUGGGCUAUGAGCUUGUUCAGCAGGGUUUGGCUUUGCAGAAGCUUGGAAAGCAUAUGAGAAAGGUUCUCAGCCCAGAUGCUAGUAGCCAAUUAAGCCUACCUCUCCCAAGGGCAGGUGUACUUGACCAGGAGACCACGCCUUCUCAGCUCCUAAGAUUGGAUUUUACAAAGUUGAAUUUCCAGUAUCAGCUGGAGGGGGAACUAGAACUUCAUAUAUAAUUCUUUCAGUUGCUCCUGAUAAAAAGCUUUUCUUUCUUUUCUUUUUCUUUUUAGUGCCAUACCCUCAACAUAUGGAAGUUCCCAGGCUAGGGGUUGAAUCGGAGCUGUAGCCACUGGCCACAACCACAGCCACAGCCACAGAGAUGCUGGCUCUGAACCUGACAGCACUCAUGGCCUAAACCCAGCCAGAACAGAGACUGGGACUUGAACCCACGUGCUGGGAUUCAAAUCCAGCCUAAACCCAGAUGGGGACUUAAACCCAUGGUUUUAGAGUAGAAUCACUCGCCCAGUGUCGGGACUCACUGAGGUUCAGGUUCUUCAUGCCUCUGAGCAGAAGGAAUUCAGCGAAAGAUAAAGUGUUAGGCAAGACACAGGUUUAUUAGGAUAGGACACUUGGAAGAGUUUCAAGCAGGCAGGGAUGGAAGCUCUGCCCCCAGGAUUCGGUGGGCUACAGUUUUAUUAUCCUAGGGGAGUGGGGGUCAGAAAAGACCACCUCUUCCUCUUUCUUGGAGUAGGAGCUGUAAUACCAGUAAGGUGGGUAUUCAAAUCAGCAGAGGGGUGGCCCUCAACUCCUGCCCUUGGUCUGAAUCUGAAUGCAGGCCUCAUCCCAUCUCCCACUCAAUGUCUUGAGCCUCCACUAGUCAAGCAAGCCCGUCUCAUUCUGAUGGUUUUCUUGAGCAAUUAUUAACUUACACUCAUCUCCCAACAUCCCCAAGAUUUCCCUCUCUAUCUGCUGGGACUUCUACAACUCCCUGUGCCUACUCCGUCCCUAUCAGAUCUGUGAGAAUUAACAUGCUUUUUCUAUCAAAGGAAGUCUUGGUUACUCCAUUUUGCUCCGGUUUCGGCAGAGAUGCCCUCCUGCGACCCCUUCCUCUUUACCUCUUCUCCCUGCAACAGUUUGUUUCAAUCAGCCAACCGAGAAGAAUGUGUGCCCUGACCUGACCCAUGGGAAGGGGACAGGUACAUCACCUGCGUUAGGGAUAAACAGGGAGGGUCUUUUCUUCUUCGUGUGCUUUUUGAGUACCGGCACCCUUCUGCAGAAGCAAAGAGCCUCGUCAAGUUCUCCCUGUGUUCAUGUGUCUCAUUAUCCAACACUGACAAUCCGAGCCAUUCUCCAGCACAUCCAAGCCAUGCCUGUGACCUACACCACAGCUCAUGGCAAUGCCAGAUCUUUAACCCCCUGAGCAAGGCCAGGGAUCAAAACUUCAUCCUCAUGGAUGCUAGUCAGAUUCGUUUCCACUGAGCCACGAUCGAAACUCCAGAAAGCUUUUCUUUAUUCCAUUUUGCAGCUUUAUUUAUUUUUUAUUAUUUUAUUUUUGUCUUUUGUCUUUUUUGGGGGGCUGCACCAGCAGCAUAUGGAAUUUCCCAGGUUAGGGGUCCAAUUGGAGCUGUUGCUGCCGGCCUACGCUACAGCCACAGCAAUGCCAGAUCCGAGCUGCGUUUGCUACCUACCCCACAGCUCACGGCAAUGCCAGAUACUUAACCCACUGAGCGAGGCCAGGGAUCAAACCCACAACCUCGUGCUUCCUAGUCAGAUUCGUUACUGCUGUGCCAGUAUAGGAACUCCCCAUUUGCAGCUUUAGCUCUGCCAAAAGCUCUCUGAAGCUCUGCUUCAGAGAACCACUUAAGAGUCAUUUAUGACCUCCCAUGUCACAGAUUGAGUGGAGGCAGUCCUGAAUUGACCUGGGCUUUCAGGACCCCUGGCCAGAGGGGAAAGGAAGGAAUGGGACCACGGUGGACCAGGAAGGGAUACAGGACUAGAAGGGGCUCCUAGAGAGGCACAAUUGGCACUGUCUGCAAGGAUGGCUCUGACACAGGUUUCAUUAAGAGUUUUUAAUGUUUAAGGAGGUGGGUGCCGAAACUCAAUGGACCUGGGCGACAGGAGACCAAAAGGCCGGCGAGGGGUGGGAGGGUUAAGCCUACAGCUCAGAAGGACUGGGCAAAGAUAAGGACCAGCUAAGCUAAGCAGAAUAAAACAACCCCUGCUCUUGUGUGUAGAAAGCA
rnacentral:lncRNA from 1 species